rnacentral:rRNA from 1 species
GCAUACAAUAAGCGGAGGAAAAGAAACCAACAGGGAUUGCCUCAGUAACGGCGAAGUGAAGCGGCAAGAAGCUCAAAUUUGAAAUCUGGCGCCUCCGGCGUCCGAGUUGUAAUUUGGAGAGGAUGCUUCGGGUGCGGCCGCGGCCUAAGUCCCCUGGAACGGGGCGUCGCAGAGGGUGAGAAUCCCGUCUUUGGUCGCCGGUGCGCGCCCGUGUGAAGCUCCUUCGACGAGUCGAGUUGUUUGGGAAUGCAGCUCUAAAUGGGUGGUAAAUUUCAUCUAAAGCUAAAUACUGGCGGGAGACCGAUAGCGAACAAGUAGAGUGAUCGAAAGGUUAAAAGCACCUUGAAAAGGGAGUUAAACAGCACGUGAAAUUGUUGAAAGGGAAGCGCUUGCAGCCAGACUCGGGCGCGGGGGUUCAGCGGGCACGCGUGCCCGUGCACUCCCCCGCGGCCGGGCCAGCAUCGGUUCGGGCGGCCGGUCAAAGGCCCCGGGAAUGUGUCGCCCUCCGGGGCGUCUUAUAGCCCGGGGUGCAAUGCGGCCAGCCUGGACCGAGGAACGCGCUUCGGCUCGGAUGCUGGCGUAAUGGCUGUCAGCGACCCGUCUUGAAACACGGACCAAGGAGUCUAACAUCCACGCGAGUGUUCGGGUGUCAAACCCGUGCGCGCAGUGAAAGCGAACGGAGGUGGGAUCCCCGCAAGGGGCGCACCAUCGACCGAUCCUGAUGUCUUCGGAUGGAUUUGAGUAAGAGCGUGGCUGUUGGGACCCGAAAGAUGGUGAACUAUGCCUGAAUAGGGCGAAGCCAGAGGAAACUWCUGGUGGAGGCUWCGCAGCGGUUUCUGACGUGCAAAUCGAUUCGUCAAAUUUGGGUAAUAGGGGCGAAAGACUAAUCGAACCAUCUAGUAGCUGGUCUGC